AAUCAGCGUUAAGGAGCUGCAGACAAUCCUCAACAGAAUCGUAGGAAAACAUAAAGAUCUCCGGACCAAGGGCUUCAGCGUGGAGUCGUGCCGCAGCAUGGUCAACCUCAUGGAUAAAGACGGAAACGGGAAGCUGGGGCUGGUGGAAUUCAACAUCCUGUGGAACCGCAUCCGGAAUUACCUGGUGGGGGGGCGCUCGGGGGCCGCCCCGCUU